GUUGGCCGAAUUUAAUGUAAAGCAUAGACAUGUAUUUAAGGUGCUGUUGGGCAUGCAAGAGUCGGCCAUUCAAUGAGAUGCUGGAAUGUAUUAAAGUGGCUGGCCGAAUUCAAUGUACAGCAGAACACGUUUUAAAGGAGUUGUCCAGCAUGCAAGGGAAGUCCAUUAAUUAGCUGCUGAAAAGAGAAUACAUGAAGCAUUAAAAGUGCUAUUUUCGUGAACAUCAAAGGGCUGCUGGUUGGUAUUUUCAAGUAGCCAUUCGGCCAACAACAUGCUUGGCGUUUCCUCUCUUCAAGGCUGAACUUUACACUACCCAAAGAAGCUGUUUUGUGUGCCAAGACGUCACUAAUGCUGCUGCUGAUCAUUAGGAUUCUCAAGGCUGAUUUAAUGAAGAGAAUUUAAGUCAUUAUCUACUAAAAACGUUGAACUCUUCCAGCCUUAGAAAUCAACGCAUUUGUUCAGCUGAAUUGGGACUUUAAGCUGCUGCCCAUUACCGUUUCCAAGGCCUAGAAUAUUUCAAAAAGCAUUGAGCUUAGUUAUUAAGAUAUUUCAGCUAUUAAUUUAGCUCAAUUAAAUCUGUUUAUUGUGACUAUUCGGUUGGGCACUUCUUAGACUAUAAAUAGUUUGUUUGUAAUCAUUUUCGGGUUAGACAAUAUACUUUUAAACUUUAUAUGAAAUCUGAUUACUUUGUGAGUUUGUUUUCAACUCUUAUUGUUCUCCAAAGACUCGUCUGACUUAUCAAGUAACCCUUGUGGCGUCAACCCGUCUUUCUAUCCGAACUUAUCACUUUAAUCCCGAAAGUGUGGCGUUCGAUUCGUACUGAGGUUCCUAUCAUUUUUGAUAGCGGGUCGAAGUUUCUAUCCACUUAACAAACCUUCCAUUGACACCUUACCAACCUAAGCAUUCUCAUAAGUUACGGGUUAACACACUACUAUUGUGUUAGUUCGGCUUUUGAAUCCUUAGCCAAAUUACAUCCAUUGUCUUCUGAUUCAUUUCCUAAACCAACAAAACUCUUUUGAGCCUAAAUAAUUCCUUUUCUUCUAGCCUAUUUUGUAAAGCUUUCAAAUUACUCCAAUUCACGAUCGGGCACAUCUACG
rnacentral:lncRNA from 1 species